UUGGCUCAGGAUGAACGCUGGCGGCGUGCCUAACACAUGCAAGUCGAGCGGGAAUCUGUUGAUUGAGACUUCGGUGGAUUGAUGCAGAGGAUAGCGGCGGACGGGUGAGUAACGCGUAGGUAACCUGCCCCUUACACAGGGAUAGCCUCGGGAAACUGGGAUUAAUACCUGAUAAUGCGAUGGAGUCACAUGGCUUUAUCGCCAAAGAUUUAUCGGUGAGGGAUGGACCUGCGUCUGAUUAGCUAGUUGGUGAGGUAACGGCCCACCAAGGCAACGAUCAGUAGCCGACCUGAGAGGGUAAUCGGCCACAUUGGAACUGAGACACGGUCCAAACUCCUACGGGAGGCAGCAGUGGGGAAUA
rnacentral:rRNA from 1 species